AGUGAACGCUGGCGGUAGGCCUAACACAUGCAAGUCGAACGGCAGCACAGUAAGAGCUUGCUCUUACGGGUGGCGAGUGGCGGACGGGUGAGGAAUACAUCGGAAUCUACUUUUUCGUGGGGGAUAACGUAGGGAAACUUACGCUAAUACCGCAUACGACCUACGGUUGAAAGCAGGGGAUCUUCGGACCUUGCGCGAUUGAAUGAGCCGAUGUCGGAUUAGCUAGUUGGCGGGGUAAAGGCCCACCAAGGCGACGAUCCGUAGCUGGUGUGAGAGGAUGAUCAGCAAAACUGGAACUGAGACAAGGUCCAGACUCCUAAGGGAGGCAGCAGUGGGGAAUAUUGGACAAUGGGCGAAAGCCUGAUCCAGACAUACCGCGUGGGUGAAGAAGGCCUUCGGGUUGUAAAGCCCUUUUGUUGGGAAAGAAAAGCAGCAGGUUAAUACCCCGCUGUUCUGACGGUACCCAAAGAAUAAGCACCGGCUAACUUCGUG
rnacentral:rRNA from 1 species